rnacentral:lncRNA from 1 species
CUAGUGCUCAAGCUCCCCUCCUGCCCCACCCCCAGUGCAGAAGAAGUAGUCUCCUGGCUGCCUUCAGUUCAAGAUGUAGAACUCUCAUCUCCUCUGGAGCCAUGUCUGUCUGCAGGCUGCCAUGCUUCCUGCCAUGAUGAUAAUGGACUGAACCUCUGCAAUUGUAAGCCAGCCCUAAUUAAAUGUUUGUCUUCAUAAGACUUGCCUUGGUCAUGGUGUCUCUUCAUAGCAAUGGACACCCUAACUAAGACACGAGGUUACCAAAGUUUUAAGUCAGGGUUAACUAUUUUUAACAAGUGGUUUUCUAAGGGUCUUAAGUUCUAGCCAGCAUAGAAGGUCACAGAUUUGUGUGUUCUCAGCCCAUGCCCUGUUUGGAUGGGACAAAUUGACAUUAAGGUCACUUCCCUGUUGUCUCAAUAUGUUCCCAGAGCAACAGCGCCACCUACGAGUGUUAGGCACACCUGCACUCCUUUUGCUUCUUUCCUGGGUUCCUUUUCUAACCCCUGCCUUUAUCUAUGAGCAGAGGAGAAAUUGAAACAGGAUCCAGAUGACUGUACUCGGCAUUUUCUAUUUACAACUGGUGUGACCUCAUCGAGGUGGUAACAGCUAUGUGACUUAGCUGCCAUCCUGAGUGAUGUCAUCAAGAUGGCAUAAACCAUGCCAUCUGACCUCCAUCUUGGUUAGUAACAUCAUCAAGAUGAAGAUGACCAAAUGACUUCACCACCCAUAAAACUUCCUGCCAAGGCUGAGUCCUCAGACAAUCACCUCCAUCCCUAGAACUUCCUGUGCCAUGUCCCCGUCCUCUUCCCCAUUUUUUUUUUCUUUUUUCUUUUUACCUUCCUGGAUGCCUAAUGGAAUCGUGGAAAUGGGAGACCUAGAGACGACUCCAGCAUGGACUCUCAUGGCCAAGGUCAAUGCAUUUUUUUUUUCGUCAGACUAGGGAGACAAUACCUUACCGCCACAGUGGGUUGUUUUGGUUGGGGUUUGCACGAUACAUUUGCUGGCUUUCAGAGGGCAUUUAAGGUUUCCCCAGCUAUGUGCCGCCAGCACUAGCCAGCUACAAAACGGAGCAGACACUGAAGGAACUAGACUUGGAAAGCACCUAUACAUUUACAGCAGCCCAGGGAGAACCAUGGAAAAGCACAGAUUCCAACUGGCACUGAAGGGUGAUUGCCAGAGCAACUGAAGGGUGAUUGCCAGAGCAUGGCUCCCACAGCUGGAGGCAAAGGGGAUUCAGCCUGCAGCAUGGGAGGCUGGAGAUGAGGAUGGACUGUGGUUUGUAUUAGGGCCUUCUCUUCCUGCCUGGCAUCUCCACGCUUAGUUUUCUCUGAUGAAGAUAGAGUUUUUACCCUUCGUGAGACCCCUUUACUCCGUGUUUAUUGUCUGCUUCUUCACAUCAAGUCCCGGGCACCUUGCUUCUGUUUUGACUUCCCACUUACAGUGACAUUGACAGGCUACAGAAGAAGACCAAUUGAUGACAUACAUCCCUUUCCAAGAAUUCCAGCCUCACAGCUUUAACGGAGCCUCCUUCGCUGAGUCAGCGGGAGGUUGCAAACAUCCCCGUGAAGAUGUUUUAUUGUGUUAUUUCUGCUUUCCUCAGCCUGCUCCUUGCCAAAGCACAUCAUUCCCUGGAUUGUGCAAAGCACAAAUAGAAAAUUUUUUGACUAUACUGUGUUUUAAGGUGGUAUUGCACCCUCUGAGCCUCUAAGCCAGUGGCUCUCAACUUUCCCAAUGCUGCAACCCUUUAAUAAAAAAAAAAACCCAGUUCCUCAUGUUGUGGUGAUCCCCCAACCAUAAAAUUAUUUUAUUUCUACUUCAUAACUGUAAUUUUGCUACUGUUAUGAUUCAUAAUGUAAAUAUUUUUGGAGAUAAAGGCUUGCCAAAGGAGUUGCAACCCACAGGUUGAGAACCACAGCUCUAAGCCAAACAAUUACUGACUUUAGAAUUCCAGCUGUGCCUGCUUAUGAAACAUCAUCACAGCUGGCCUUGUUGAUUAUUGAUAAAGAUUGCAAUGCCUGGGAUGUUUUUUUUUUCCAGAAUGGGUAAAAGUUGGAAAGUCUGAAGCAAGCCAUAAAGGUUUGAGCAAGUGGCAUAAAGGUAUAUAAAAGAUGAGGCUUUAUAUACGAUAUUAACACAUCUAAGGUCAAAGUUCAACAUAUUGCUGUCAAAACCCUGCUUAACUGUAUGUCAAAGCAAUGCUUAUUUUAAAGUGGUUGGAUUUUGCCCCAGCUUUAUCUUAAUAUCACACCAUGAAUAAAAGUACCAGGUUGCUGUAGUCAACCUUCUGGGGUUUCAGCGCCAUUUUUGGAGGCCUAGACUGAUGUGGUUAGAGGGAUUGAAAGGGGAGAAUAUUUUACCUUGUCUUCUGAGGUCAACUAGGCCCCCCGGGACGGUGGGGCACCUCUAAAAUGUCCUGUAAGUGUUCAAGAAGCCCAUGAAGACCCCAGCUCUAACCAAGUGUUCAAAGAAGAAGGUCAACAGAAGAAAUCUUUCCCCUGUGCCUUCAAGUGAGACCACAGCUAUGCAAGGUCUCUAACUCCUCUCCGCGAUGGAACAACUGGUUAAAGGAAGGCUGAAGGGGCCCGAGGUUCCUCUCAAGCCCACGUGAGUCCUGAGGACCAGGUCCUCAUCUGGCCUUGGCAGUUAAAGAGGGGGAAGUGACUAAUGUUGGCCAACUUUGUGGUGGUAACAUCCAGCAGGAAAGUACAGGCAGCCACUAAAAUGAUGGGCAUGUUCCCUCCACAGUCCAAGGGGUCACACUGCCUACAUAGGGGGCGUUGUCUAAAACAGCCAUCUCUCUCUGAGGAUUCUCUUCUUGAUAAGACAAAUGCUGCCCAGGAGUGAGCCCAGACCUCAGCUCCCCGCAGCAGCUGCCUCCAGCCAGGAGAGACAGGCCCACUACUGUUUAACCUAAGAAGGAAGUGAGAGCUAAGGUUCUUUUCUCUGCCUCUCUAAAAGCUACUGGGGGGAAAGCAGGGGACUCAUGCUGAUUCCAACUGUUCCAAAAGCUACUGAGGGGCCUCCAAGCAGAUCCUGGGCCCAUCACUCUGCAGAGCAGCCUUGGAGGGAAAGGGGAACAG